rnacentral:lncRNA from 1 species
UCAGUAGCUAUAGCUGUUGUGUCGUGGUGGAUAUGGAGAACUUUACAGUGGGUUUGGUUUAAGCCAAAGAUGCUUGAGAGUUACCUGAGAAGACAAGGUCUUGUCGGAACUCCUUACACGCCUCUUGUCGGCGAUUUAAAGAGGAAUUUCAGCAUGCUGGCUGAGGCAAGAUCCAAACCCAUCAAUCUAACAGAUGAUAUCACACCUCGUAUCGUGCCUUAUCCCUUGCAAAUGUUCAAGACUUACGGUAUGCUUCCUGGUUGACAUCUUGAUCCUCUCUGUUUAGUACUGUUGUAGCUUUCAACUUUUGUAUCUCAAUCUGGAUUGAAACAGGGAGAACUUUCUAUACAUGGCUUGGACCCAUACCAACAAUCACCAUAAUGGAUCCUGAGCAAAUCAAGGAAGUGUUCAACAAAGUUUAUGAUUUCCAGAAAUCACAUACGUUCCCUUUGGCCAGAUUAAUAGCCGCUGGACUCGUUAGUUAUGAUGGUGAUAAAUGGGCAAAACACCGAAGAAUCAUCAACCCAGCUUUCCACCUUGAGAAGAUCAAGGUUUAAAAUCUUUAUCUUCCAUAGUCCUGAAUCAGAUUAGAUUGCUUGAUGUAUAUAUGUUCAUUUGGCUCUGAGCCAGUUUGUGUUUUCUGCUUCUAUGUAAUAGAACAUGGUACCUGCGUUCCACAAGAGCUGCAGCGAGACCGUUGGCAAAUGGGACAAGUUGGUGUCGGAGAAAGGGUCGUCCUGUGUGGUGGACGUUUGGCCUGGGCUUGUGAGUAUGACUGCAGAUGUGAUCUCUCGUACUGCUUUUGGCAGCAGCUACGUAGAAGGGCAGAGGAUAUUUGAGCUCCAAGCGGAAAUAGCACAGCUCAUCAUACAAGCUUUUCGGAAAGCUUUCAUCCCUGGAUAUCGGUAAUAAGAAUCUCAACUUGUCUGCUUUUAGAACAAGGCCUUUUAGAGCUUGAGUAGUGCCGCAAUCUAUUAGAUAUUUUGAUCCAUGUUGUGUUAUAUUCUCUCUGUCGUCUGUUCAUGCAGUUAUCUCCCUACGAAGGGUAACAGAAGGAUGAAAGCAGCAGCUAGAGAAAUCCAAGUUAUACUGAGAGAGAUAGUUACCAAAAGGCUUAAAGCAGCAGCUAGAGAAAUCCAAGUUAUACUGAGAGGAGCUGGGUAUACUUCUUGAAUCGAAUUUGGGACAAACGAAAGGAAAUGGAAUGAGUAUUGAGGAUGUGAUGGAGGAGUGCAAAUUGGAAUGAGUACCGAGGAUGUGAUGGAAGAAUGCAAGUUGUUCUAUUUCGCUGGCCAAGAGACAACAUCAGUACUUCUGGUUUGGACGAUGGUUCUGUUAAGCCAACACCAAGAUUGGCAAGCUCACGCACGAGAAGAAGUGAGGCAAGUUUUUGGCGAUAAAGAACCUGAUACAGAAGGCCUUAACCAACUCAAAGUUGUAAGUAUAAACCAAAACAAAAACUUUUUAAAGUGACUUCACUACUUUUGUUGCAUUUUGAUGAUUUAAGAUGAAUGAUUUGAUCCCUCACAGAUGAGGAUGAUAUUAUAUGAGGUCCUUAGGCUAUAUCCUCCAGUAGCCCAGCUGACCCGAGAAAUCCACAAAGAGAUGAAGCUCGGAGAUGUGACAUUACCCGGCGGUGUUCAGAUCAGUCUACCUAUCAUGCUAGUCCAACGCGACACAGAGCUGUGGGGUAACGAUGCAGGGGAGUUCAAGCCAGAGAGAUUCAAAGAAGGUCUCUCAAAGGCAACAAAGAACCAAGUCUCUUUCUUUCCCUUUGCGUGGGGACCAAGGAUUUGCAUUGGCCAGAAUUUCGCAUUACUUGAGGCAAAGAUGGCAAUGACUUUGAUUCUACAGAGAUUCUCCUUCGAGCUUUCUCCUUCCUAUGUUCACACGCCUUUCACAAUCGCCACCAUUCACCCACAGUUCGGUGCUCCUCUUAUGCUGCACAAGCUCUAAUCACAUAACCCAUGUGCUGUUAUCAAAUAAACUCGUCUUUUUUACGUAAAAUCCGAGAUUAAAAAAAAAAAUUGAAAUGAAUAAUACAGUCUCUCUCACCACAGAAGAAACUAAAUUAAACACUACAGAGCUUAAAUAUCAAAGGAAUGAAGGGAUGAGAUAUGUAAUGUGACGUUUUCUUUUUUACUGAAGUAAAAUAUUAUAACAACCAGUUUAAGAUAGGGUUUGUGGUAUGUUAGAGCACUUUGUGAGUUAUUAUGAGCAUAUGGGGCACAUAUGAGGGAGUGGGCACUUUUUUGGAGUUUUUUCACUGUGCAACAAAAAAUAAUACCAUUAUACCCUUACUACACGUGGACAGUUAACCAAACUAUGGUUAACUUGUUUAAUCUCAGCCGUUGGAUGUCCAGGAGAAAGAAAUGAUCUAACGGUUUGUUAUUACUGAAAGAUGAGACAAUGGAAUUGUGUGGAUAUUGCCGACAAAAAAGAUCUAAUGGUUGUGGGUGAGCACGGUAUUCGGAGUGGAGUUUGGUUGUAAAGAGAGAUAACUGAAGGUAGUGGAUUAUAAGAAAAGAGGAUUAUAAGUUCUAAAUCAAGGAUAAAUAUAUUUUUCAUUGUAUAACAAAUUAUAAUUAUUUUUUCUUUACAUUUGAAGAUCCAUUUUACUAUAGUUUAUAAAUAUAAUCAUAUAACAUAUAAAUAUUUUUAAAAGAUAAAAUAUAAAUUAUCCACAUAAUCUUGAACACACGACAAUUUCUUAUAAUUUUACAUAAAAAUUGACAACACAAUCAUUUAAAAUUACCGUCCAUACAAGCACAUCCACCAAACUCUAACCACAUGGUCAUUUCAAUUCAUGUCUAAUUUAUUUCUUCACUCUUAACGAAAAGUAUGUAGCCAUAAACCCUAGAAUCAUUGUAGAAAAUCAUGGUUCUUUAACCAAAAUACCCUAAACCUACACUAUAUAAAAUUUACCCUACACACUAAACCCUAAACCUUCUAUACUAAACCCAAGCACCUAAACCUAAACCCUAAACCCUAAACUCAAAACCCUUAAAUUUAAAACCUAAACCAUAGAGAUUUAACCCUUAACCCUUAACCUUAUACCUAAACCUAAUUCCAUAACCUCUAAACCUAAACCACAAACCCUAAACCCUUGAUACUAAACCCUAAAGCAUAAACGAUAAACUCUAUACCCUAAACACUCUACCGAAAAGAACAAAACCCUAUACUCUAAACAAUAAAUACUAAACCCUAAAUAGUAAAUCCUAAACCCUAAAUACUAAACACGAAAUCCUAUACCUUACACCCUAAACAUUAUACCAUAACCUCCAACCCUAAACCCUAAACAUUAAUACUAAAUACAAAACCCUAAUUACUAGACACUAAACCCUAAAUACUAUACCCUAAAUAGUAAAUGCUAAACCCUAAAAACUAAACACAAAACCCUUUACCCUAAACACUUAACACUAUACCGAUAAGAACAAAACCCUAAACCCUAAACAAUAAACACUAAACCCUAAACAGUAAACAUUAAACCCUAACUAAACACGAAAUACUAUACCCUAAACAUAAAUACUAAAUACUAAAACCUAAUUAUUAAACCCUAACCUCUAAAUACUAUAUACCCUAUCCAUCAUAACUUAGCCACGUGGUCGAUAUAAAUUAAACUCUAAACCAUAAACAAUAAACCCAAUAAGCUUAACCCUUACCUUACCAUCAAAAUAUUGCUACAGGGUUGGAUAAAAACUCUUUCCAUGUAAACCUAACCACGUGAUUCCAUAUACGCUCAAAUUCUAAGACUAUACUAUACCCAUAAGAAUGAAACCCUAAACACUAAACAAUAAAAACUAUACCCUAAACAGUAAAUACUAAACCCUAAAUACUCAAUAAACCGUAAACUCUAAACAUAAAUAAUAAAUACUAAACAAUAAUUAAUGCAUCCUAAACCCUAAAUAGUAAACAUAUCCAUCAUAACAUAGCCACGGGGCUGAUAUACAGUAAACCCUAAACCAUAAACAAUAAACCCUAAACAUCUAAAGUCAAAACUCUCAACUCUAAACCAUUGAGACUAAACCAUUAACCCUAAACCAUAUAACUAAACCCUAUACCAUAAACCCUAAACCCUAAAGCAUAAGACUAAACUCUUAACCCUUAAGCAUAUAACUAUACCCUAUACCUAAACCCUAAAUCCUAAACUCUAAACCCUUAACUCUAAAUUCUAAACCCUAAUCUAAACCCUAAACAUGAAAUCCAAAACUAUAACCCUAAACCCUAGAAUAAAACCUCUAACUUUUAUCCCCUCAACCUUAAACCGUAACUUUUAUAGAUAUAACAUCAAUAACCACCACUUUGGAUCCAUAAUAAUCUAAAACAUGUUUCUUAAUCUGAAAACGUAUAACAUUAUUGAGAUCGAUCUGUUCAUACACAAUCAUACAAUAUACACUCGUAUUGUUGUUUUGUUAUAUGUAAUCGUAGAUAUAUAAAUAUGGAGAUUUCUAUGGAAUAACUUUUCUGGAUAUGACCACUAGAACUUGUUUCAUCAUAUUUUAUCACGAUCUUUUAUAUAACAUAACACUUAUUUUGUGGACAACAUUAUACAAAAAUCACAUUAGAUUCGUAACAUAACAAAAUAUUGGCUUUCAUAAUGUUUUCUCUAUACAUAAAUCAUUCAUAAAUUCAUAAUGCAUAAUACAUCAUCCAUUAUGCGUCAUCCAUAAUGUGGCAUCCAUAAUAUGUCAUACACAAUAGUCAACAAUAAUAGUGGUGACUGAUAGAGAUAUGUGUAGGAAGUCAUUGACACAAAUAUAUUUUUAAAGGAAAAAAUAUAAACUAUCCACAUAAUCUUGAUAACAUGACGGUCUUGUUUUUAAUUUUACAUCAAAAUUUACAAUGUAAUCAUUUCAAAUUAUCGACCAUCUAUGCACAUCCACCAAAUUCUGACCACGUGGUCAUUUCAAUCCAGGUCUAAUUUAUUUCUCACUCUCAAAAAACAUAUUUUCACCUCUACCGAAACUUCAGACAAAGUAGGGAAAAUUAGCCACUUUUCUUCUCAUGAAGCUUCUUCUUCUUGUACGAUUUAAUCUAGGAUUCAUGAUUUCAACAAAACCUCUUUCCUUAUAUCAUUGAUAAAUGAAACCCCAAGCUGUCAUAGAAAUUGGUUUUCACAUAUAUCUUUAUUAAUUAUACAGUAAAAUCUAAAAUUAAGUAGUAUCAAUUAAAAGAAGAAGAAGAUAAAAUAUUUGAAUCUGUUUGGGUGAGACUCAAACAAGACGAGACUUUGAGCAUUCGUUUAUGUCGUCCAUGGAGAUUUAAAUGAGUAAGACGACGUUGCUCUGGGAUUUGGGAAGCUUCUUGAGGAUAUUAAGGAGAAGAAAAUUGGGUUUCUGAAAUUCAAAUCACAGAUCUGAUGGAUAUGAAUCUAAGACGAAGUGUAGAUAAAUCAAUGCGAAAAGUAAAAGAUAUGAUUAUGAAAGACCAUGAAAAUUGAAAUUCAUUGAGGAGUCGUCUCUCUCGAAUUCCGACAGCAAAUUAAUUCAUCACAGAUCACUAUUACUAUCCUUGGUACAAGGUGAGAGUAAAAGACGAAGAAGAGAGAUGGAAGAAAAAAUAAGUAAUAAGAGAGAUAGAGAUAACGAAGAAGAGAGAGAGAUAAAGGAUGUUUGGGUAGUGAGAGAUAAAUGAUGUUUGGGUGAGAUGAAGAGAAAGAUAAAUAAAUGAAGAAGAGAGAUAUAGAUGAGACGAAGGAGAGAGAAAGAGGAAUGAUAUUUGGAUAAAGAGAAAGUAAAUAUUGGGACCAUGGUUAGUUAGGAUGAGUUGAGGGUGUUAUGGUAAAAAAACUUAAAAAUGUGACCACUACCCCUAAUGUGUUCCAGAGGGAGAUUGAGUUUCAAUAAAAUGUCCCAUAGAGUAAUAUUUCCUUUAAGAUACAGAACAAAAACAAAGGUAACAGAGAUAUGUAACGUUUAUUUUUUUAUUUUAUGUCGACACAACAAAAUACUUCAAUGUUUAGGUAAAAAAAAAAAAAAAGGGUAAAACCCAUGGAUUGGAUGGUAUUGGUAAAAAUGACAAAGAAACGUCACAAAGUUGAAGACGUUCGUCCCUUGCCCGCCACUCAAGUGAUGACUUAUAUAUGAGUCUUAUGACCAAUAAUAUACAUAUAUCUCCUCCUAUUUUUGUCAAACAAGUCCAAAUUUGCUUCUUGCUACGCCUUCGUGGCACGCAAAAUAUCAACAACACAAAAGAAUUGUCUGAACACAAACACUAUCAAGUAUUUAAGACAUCAGCGGUGAUGUCAUCACCACAUCCAUAUCUUUUCCAAAAUUUGCAACCUUUAUAUCCCGACAAUUUUUAGCAAAUUCUCUACCUCUUUCUCUUCUCUCUCUUCUGUGGGAGAAAAAAUGGAGAUAUCGCUUGCAUCGGUAACCAUUUCAGUAGCUAUAGCUGUUGUGUCGUGGUGGAUAUGGAGAACUUUACAGUGGGUUUGGUUUAAACCAAAGAUGCUUGAGAGUUACCUGAGAAGACAAGGUCUUGCCGGAACUCCUUACACACCUCUUGUCGGCGAUUUAAAGAGGAAUUUCAGCAUGCUGGCUGAGGCAAGAGCCAAACCCCUCAAACUAACGGAUGACAUCACAACACGUGUCGUGCCUUAUCCCUUGCAAAUGUUCAAGACUUACGGUACGCUUCCUGGUUGGCAUCUCUUGAUUCUUUAGAACUGUUGCAGAGUAUCUGUUCUAGAGAAAAAGGUUUCAACCUUUGUAUUUUUAUUAUAUCGUUGGAACGGAACAGG